ACAAGGUCAAUAAGUAGCUGUUCAGGAGCUUUCGAUGGUUUCACACAAUCUUCCUCAGCAGAUGGAGUGUGCCCAGUUGUCAUUGAGUUGGACGCGUUCAAAUUUCCUGAGCACUUUAAAGACUUCUUAUGGAAGCAAAGAAAGGCCGUAAUAGUUUGAAUCUUACAUUAAAAAACCUGAAUACUUAAUGUUAAAAUGUAAAUACCACUGAAUUUAUAGCAUUGAAAAAUGUAACUUUGAAAACCGUCUGUCUGAAUUUAUACAGUUUGAAUUUCCCAGGUCAUUUCAAGAAAUUGCAAAUCACAUUGGGUUUUUUUUGUUUGUUUUUUUUAACAAACACUGAAAAAAAGUCAAGAUGCUGACGUUGGAAUGGUUAAGUUUAGAAAACAUGAACAUCCAGGCUACCGAGGAUAAUGAAUUGAUCAGAUUCUGUCCUAUCAGCUUAUGUUCUGACAGUCACAUGAUCCAAGAGUUCAGGUGAGCGAUUGAAAUGCCGGAGCUUUAAAGAGGUUUUCUAGUUUAACUACAACUUGGAAGUUGAUGUGACGUAAAUGCUUUUUACAAGUCAUUAACUCAAAACUACGUUAACGCCGAUAUGACAUUGUUGGGCCUCACCACACCACAUGUGUAGAACAAAGACAGCGGCCUAGCUGGGAAGGGCAAAGCCUUGACCCGAGGCCUGAAUGGGAAACAAAGGCGCCAAGUCUCCACUAGCCCUUAAUUCACACUUAGGUGUAAGAUUGAUGUGAGAUCUUGGUGGAAGCCAACACAAGAGAGCACAGCUAUGACGUCAUCACCUCUAUAAAGCCUAGCGCCACACACUACACGAUGUCUUUUCCACUAUAACCCCGUUACUACAGGAAGGCACAUCACAUGAACUUUAAUUUUCCAAGGAAAGUCUUAACUCGCUGGACGAGCAACAGACUGCUUUGUGUUUGCUGAACACACUUUUGGAUCCUGAUCGUUAUUCCCCAUAAUGAUCCCGUAGCUGCAGAAGGGAGAGUCAGGUUUUACUGUCUCUUCACGGAGAGAAAGACCGCCGCUGAGCCCCUCUCUCUCUCCACUGAACGUCAACUACUGCUUUCCUCCGCUGUCAUUCGAAGGAACAGUUCCACCAUUAGAACCGCCGUCAGCGCGGAUCCGGCUCCGUCAGUAUCUGAGCCUUGAGAGGAUUUCACCGGACAACCACACAUUGUCCGGUGACACAUUAAAUCGCUAUCAGGAGCGAUCUCAAUUGCCUGUGGUUACUGUGUGUACAUGUUGGAAUAACAGCUGGUUGCGAAGGGCUGGAACCAAACCUGCCCUACCUGAAUCCCAACAACACGAACGUGGCAAAAGCCAAGACGUCCAGGUUUGAAAUUUCCCUUUAAUUUGGUGUCUGAAUGAAACCAAUUUGAACAACUUGAUUUUUUUUUGUCUCGCCUUGAAUUUUUAGAUUCAAAAAUUAUUAACUGAAUUCAAGAGACUUAAAUAUUUCUUUAAAUAUAAUAAAGAGCAUUUUCUGAAUUGACUUUGCACUCCUUGAAAUUACUUAAAUUCCAACCAAACAAAUUCAGAGCUGGUUUUUAAAGUAAAAUAUUUUAAUGCUAUACUUUCAGUAGCAUUUAAAUACUAACAUGAAGUAUUGAGCAGUGAUUCAAUUUCACAUUUACUGAAGUUUUCAGUUGCUUGUAAAAUUAAAAUGACGGCCUUUCUUUGCUUCCAUACUUCUCAUCCAUGUUUGCUUAAAAACACACAUACACAGCAGGAAUUUUAAGACUGUGACAGAGCAGACAUGGAGGCCUUUAUUGUUUAACUAUGUUUAUAGUACAGUGCCACAUCUCUCACCCACCAUGGCCCCCGACACACAUUAGUCAACAACUUUUAAUCACCACCGUGCACACAUAACACGCACACACACACACACACACACACACACACACACA